GACCUUGUGGCCCAAUGGCAAGGCGCUUGACUACGAUGCCACAACACCCUCUGAAAUCAAGAGAUUCUAGGUUCGAUCCCUAGCAAGGUCG